rnacentral:rRNA from 1 species
CUACGGGGGCUGCAGUGGGGAAUAUUGGACAAUGGGCGCAAGCCUGAUCCAGCAAUACCGCGUGUGUGAAGAAGGCCUGCGGGUUGUAAAGCACUUUCAAUUGUGAAGAAAAGCGAGAGGUUAAUAGCCUUUUGUCUUGACGUUAACUUUAGAAGAAGCACCGGCUAACUCUGUGCCAGCAGCCGCGGUAAUACAGAGGGUGCGAGCGUUAAUCGGAAUUACUGGGCGUAAAGCGUGCGUAGGCGGUUUAGUAAGUCAGAUGUGAAAGCCCUGGGCUCAACCUGGGAACUGCAUUUGACGCUGCUGAACUAGAGUGUGGUAGAGGGAAGUGGAAUUCCGGGUGUAGCGGUGAAAUGCGUAGAUAUCCGGAGGAACACCAGUGGCGAAGGCGACUUCCUGGACCAACACUGACGCUGAGGUACGAAAGCGUGGGUAGCAAACAGGAUUAGAUACCCGGGUAGUC